rnacentral:rRNA from 1 species
AGCCACAGCCAUAUCACCCUGCAGCCCAAGACUGGUCGCCCACUGAGCAGGGUUGAGCCUGGGCAGUACCUAGAUAGGAGACCUCCUGGGAAACUAGGUUGCUGUUGGAA